rnacentral:rRNA from 1 species
CACUCCUACGGGAGGCAGCAGUGGGGAAUAUUGGACAAUGGGCGCAAGCCUGAUCCAGCCAUGCCGCGUGAGUGAUGAAGGCCCUAGGGUUGUAAAGCUCUUUCACCGGUGAAGAUAAUGACGGUAACCGGAGAAGAAGCCCCGGCUAACUUCGUGCCAGCAGCCGCGGUAAUACGAAGGGGGCUAGCGUUGUUCGGAUUUACUGGGCGUAAAGCGCACGUAGGCGGACUAUUAAGUCAGGGGUGAAAUCCCGGGGCUCAACCCCGGAACUGCCUUUGAUACUGGUAGUCUUGAGUUCGAGAGAGGUGAGUGGAAUUCCGCGUGUAGAGGUGAAAUUCGUAGAUAUUCGGAGGAACACCAGUGGCGAAGGCGGCUCACUGGCUCGAUACUGACGCUGAGGUGCGAAAGCGUGGGGAGCAAACAGGAUUAGAAACCCCAGUAGUCCCAU